CAAAAUGUCUUCUACCUUCAUUUCCUUAAACACCUUAUCAAAUGCCCACCUUGGAAAGUACCAAUCCUCACUCUCUAUCAAAGAACCUUGCGUCUCAAAAUUCCUAGACCCAGUUACAAUUUCUAAUAACACCAUUCCAAAACUAUAUACAUCAGCUUUAGGGGUGAUCGGAUCGCUUCUGACCCAUUCCGGUGCCAUGUAUCCACGGGUGCCCCGGAUCCGAGACAUACUUACCAUAUCUUCUUUCUUCCUCAACUUAGCUAAUCCAAAAUCUGAAAUUUUUGGACAAAAAUCAUCACCCAAGAGUAUAUUUUCGGGUUUGAUAUCACAGUGCAAAACCCACUCCAAACACUCUUCAUGUAAGUAUGCAAUUGCUCUGGCCACACCAAGUGCAAUCCGGUAUCUGAUUCCCCAAUCAAGUAUAGGUUUCCGGCCGUCAAAAGCUACAAGACCCAUCUCCAUCUCGGAUCCUGAAGAUGCAACCUGACCCGCAGGAAAAAGGUACUUAUCCAGAGAUCCAUGAGGCACAUACUCAUAAACUAAAAUCCUUUGCCCUUUCUCAGCACAAAAGCCCCAUAAUCUGACCAAAUUGAGAUGGUGCAUCCUGGCAAUGAUAGUAACCUCUGCCCAGAACUCACCGUCGCCUCCGGUGACAUGUUUCAAGCACUUAAUGGCAACAAUUCGCUUAUCAGGCAGCUCUCCUCUGUAAACAUCACCGAAUCCACCUCUCCCAAUGGCAUUAGCAUUGGAGAAAUCAUGCGUUGCUGCUUUGAGCUCUGCAUAUGUGAACCUUUUAGGCCCCCCAGCGGGCAGGAAUUCCAGGCCUAAAGUCCGUGCCAUGUCUCUGUACUUGAUGUACUUCUUCAAAAAGGCCCAAAAGAACAGAAUCCCAGAAAUAAGCUCUGCGGCAAAUAAUGUACAGAUUAUUGCAAUAUUUCUUGUCGUAGUAUUCGAUUCUUCAGGUGGGAAAGGGAGGCUGAUUCGAACAGGACAUGUCGUCUCCAACACACUAGUCAUACCAGUGAAAUUAGAUUGAUCUUGUUCGGAAAUAUCCACACGCAAGAACAAACAUGGCGGUUUCCGUGCCUGGAGACCAGUACCCAUAUAGAAGUCGUUCAAGCUGAAGCACACAGUACCCUUGGCCAUCAUACUUGAACAUAAAACCUUGACAAUUCUCCUUGUUCAAGCAGCUUGCAGCUUGCUUCACAAGUAGAGACGUUUCUGACAUUCAGGUUACUCUGAUUUAAUCCACCAGUGAAAUUGACAUAAUCGAGCCGAAGAAAC
rnacentral:misc_RNA from 1 species